CUGCGCAGCCGCUACGCCAGGCAGGAGACUCGACCCCUCCACCACGAGGGACCGAAAAUGGCCUGAACAGAGCAGGAGUCACUGACAGCCACCCACGCCUCCAGGAGCUGGAGCUUUGAGACUGAUGCCAAAUAUCACAGGACUUGUGAUAAAACUGAAAGUUGGCAACACUGAGAUUCCCCAACACACAGGGUAAUGUCAAAUAAAACUCACACCCAAUCCUCAAGAGAGAAUCACUCAUCCAGCGGGAAAGGCUGUAACACAAAGAAAGAGAAGUGCCACAGGAGAACAGAAACAGAAGGAAAACAGCAUCAAAGGUUGCAGGAUCUUAACAAUGUGCUACCCUUCAAUGCCCCAGAGAACUUCAGCUUUGAGAAACCUUCACAGUGGACAGCCUGGAAGCAGGAUUUUGCAAGAUUUCAAAUGGCAAACAAGCUUUACAAAGACACUGGAGAUAUACAGGUAUCAUCCUUAAUUUAUGCUAUAGGGAAGUAGGCAGAGGAUAUCUUAAAUUCUUUGACUUUUCUGAAGACAGUCACAAAGAGGACUAUGAAAGGGUUCUGGUUAUGUUUGAUGCCUACUUUAUACCCCAGAGAAAUGUGGUUUAUGUUUUCAGCAGAAAAUUCAAGAAUGAGGGGAACACUUUGAAUGUUUUAUAAGAGCUCUGCAUGUAUUGGCUGAAAACUAUGAGUUUGGAAAUUGUGAAACUCAAAAAUCUUUCACAGCAGCUACAAUUGAAGACAGCCUAAGUCUAGCUACUCCUAUACAGAUAGCUGCAGCUGUGCUACUGUACUGCUUUAAUGCAGACACUACCUGUGCCAAUGGGAGGGGUACUCCCAUCAGUGUAGCUAAUCCGUCUCCCCCAGAGGCAGUAACUAGUAACUGUCUACAGUUCGGAUUAGGUCAGUUUAACUACAUUGCUCAGGCUGUGGAUUUUUCAUAAUGGAGACCACCUAAUUUUUUAGUGUAGACCAGGCCUAGCUUAGAAGCUGUUAUCAGAGGCAGCAUGAAUGCUAGAAGUCAUUGUCAUAAAACCGCUGAGGAAAGGUGUAACAUUAUUGACACAAACUGGGACAGUAUAGAUCAUUGGUGCAACCACGGUCCUGUAGUGGCACCAAAUCUUAU